rnacentral:rRNA from 1 species
AUGCAACGCGAAGAACCUUACCUGGGCUUGACAUGCAGAGUUCAAUCGGUGAAAGCCGAUGGCCGCAAGGCGAUCUGCACAGGUGCUGCAUGGCUGUCGUCAGUUCGUGCCGUGAGGUGUUGGGUUAAGUCCCGCAACGAACGCAACCCUUGUGUCUAGUUGCCACCGGCGUGAUAAACGUCGAGCACUCUAAACAGACUGCCCGUGACAAGCGGGAGGAAGGUGGGAUGACGUCAAAUCAUCAUGCCCCUUAUGUUCUGGGCUACACACGUGCUACAAUGGCCGGUACAGACGGAGGCGAAGCCGCGAGGCGGAGCAAAUCCGAAAAAGCCGGUCUCAGUUCGGAUUGCAGGCUGCAAUUCGCCUGCAUGAAGUCGGAAUCGCUAGUAAUCGCAGGUCAGCAUACUGCGGUGAAUACGUUCCCGGGCCUU